GGUUAAGCGACUAAGCGUACACGGUGGAUGCCCUGGCAGUCAGAGGCGAUGAAGGACGUGCUAAUCUGCGAUAAGCGUCGGUAAGGUGAUAUGAACCGUUAUAACCGGCGAUUUCCGAAUGGGGAAACCCAGUGUGUUUCGACACACUAUCAUUAACUGAAUCCAUAGGUUAAUGAGGCGAACCGGGGGAACUGAAACAUCUAAGUACCCCGAGGAAAAGAAAUCAACCGAGAUUCCCCCAGUAGCGGCGAGCGAACGGGGAGCAGCCCAGAGCCUGAAUCAGUGUGUGUGUUAGUGGAAGCGUCUGGAAAGGCGUGCGAUACAGGGUGACAGCCCCGUACACAAAAAUGCACAUAUUGUGAGCUCGAUGAGUAGGGCGGGACACGUGGUAUCCUGUCUGAAUAUGGGGGGACCAUCCUCCAAGGCUAAAUACUCCUGACUGACCGAUAGUGAACCAGUACCGUGAGGGAAAGGCGAAAAGAACCCCGGCGAGGGGAGUGAAAAAGAACCUGAAACCGUGUACGUACAAGCAGUGGGAGCACGCUUAGGCGUGUGACUGCGUACCUUUUGUAUAAUGGGUCAGCGACUUAUAUUCUGUAGCAAGGUUAACCGAAUAGGGGAGCCGAAGGGAAACCGAGUCUUAACUGGGCGUUAAGUUGCAGGGUAUAGACCCGAAACCCGGUGAUCUAGCCAUGGGCAGGUUGAAGGUUGGGUAACACUAACUGGAGGACCGAACCGACUAAUGUUGAAAAAUUAGCGGAUGACUUGUGGCUGGGGGUGAAAGGCCAAUCAAACCGGGAGAUAGCUGGUUCUCCCCGAAAGCUAUUUAGGUAGCGCCUCGUGAAUUCAUCUCCGGGGGUAGAGCACUGUUUCGGCAAGGGGGUCAUCCCGACUUACCAACCCGAUGCAAACUGCGAAUACCGGAGAAUGUUAUCACGGGAGACACACGGCGGGUGCUAACGUCCGUCGUGAAGAGGGAAACAACCCAGACCGCCAGCUAAGGUCCCAAAGUCAUGGUUAAGUGGGAAACGAUGUGGGAAGGCCCAGACAGCCAGGAUGUUGGCUUAGAAGCAGCCAUCAUUUAAAGAAAGCGUAAUAGCUCACUGGUCGAGUCGGCCUGCGCGGAAGAUGUAACGGGGCUAAACCAUGCACCGAAGCUGCGGCAGCGACGCUUAUGCGUUGUUGGGUAGGGGAGCGUUCUGUAAGCCUGUGAAGGUGUGCUGUGAGGCAUGCUGGAGGUAUCAGAAGUGCGAAUGCUGACAUAAGUAACGAUAAAGCGGGUGAAAAGCCCGCUCGCCGGAAGACCAAGGGUUCCUGUCCAACGUUAAUCGGGGCAGGGUGAGUCGACCCCUAAGGCGAGGCCGAAAGGCGUAGUCGAUGGGAAACAGGUUAAUAUUCCUGUACUUGGUGUUACUGCGAAGGGGGGACGGAGAAGGCUAUGUUGGCCGGGCGACGGUUGUCCCGGUUUAAGCGUGUAGGCUGGUUUUCCAGGCAAAUCCGGAAAAUCAAGGCUGAGGCGUGAUGACGAGGCACUACGGUGCUGAAGCAACAAAUGCCCUGCUUCCAGGAAAAGCCUCUAAGCAUCAGGUAACAUCAAAUCGUACCCCAAACCGACACAGGUGGUCAGGUAGAGAAUACCAAGGCGCUUGAGAGAACUCGGGUGAAGGAACUAGGCAAAAUGGUGCCGUAACUUCGGGAGAAGGCACGCUGAUAUGUAGGUGAAGUCCCUUGCGGAUGGAGCUGAAAUCAGUCGAAGAUACCAGCUGGCUGCAACUGUUUAUUAAAAACACAGCACUGUGCAAACACGAAAGUGGACGUAUACGGUGUGACGCCUGCCCGGUGCCGGAAGGUUAAUUGAUGGGGUCAGCGCAAGCGAAGCUCUUGAUCGAAGCCCCGGUAAACGGCGGCCGUAACUAUAACGGUCCUAAGGUAGCGAAAUUCCUUGUCGGGUAAGUUCCGACCUGCACGAAUGGCGUAAUGAUGGCCAGGCUGUCUCCACCCGAGACUCAGUGAAAUUGAACUCGCUGUGAAGAUGCAGUGUACCCGCGGCAAGACGGAAAGACCCCGUGAACCUUUACUAUAGCUUGACACUGAACAUUGAGCCUUGAUGUGUAGGAUAGGUGGGAGGCUUUGAAGUGUGGACGCCAGUCUGCAUGGAGCCGACCUUGAAAUACCACCCUUUAAUGUUUGAUGUUCUAACGU
rnacentral:rRNA from 1 species